rnacentral:rRNA from 1 species
UCCGGUUGAUCCUGCCGGACCUGACUGCUAUCGGAUUGAUACUAAGCCAUGCGAGUCAUUGUAGUAAUACAAGGCAGACGGCUCAGUAACGCGUAGUCAACCUACCCUAUGGACGGGGAUAACCUCGGGAAACUGAGAAUAAUACCCGAUAGAACAUUAUGCCUGGAAUGGUUUAUGUUUCAAAUAAUUUAUUGCCGUAGGAUGGGACUGCGGCCUAUCAGUUUGUUGGUGAGGUAAUGGCCCACCAAGACUAUUACAGGUACGGGCUCUGAGAGGAGUAGCCCGGAGAUGGGUACUGAGACACGGACCCAGGCCCUAUGGGGCGCAGCAGGCGAGAAAACUUUGCAAUGUGCGAAAGCACGACAAGGUUAAUCCGAGUGGUUUCUGCUAAAGGAACCUUUUGUCAGUCCUAGAAACACUGAUGAAUAAGGGGUGGGCAAGUUCUGGUGUCAGCCGCCGCGGUAAAACCAGCACCUCAAGUGGUCAGGAUGAUUAUUGGGCCUAAAGCAUCCGUAGCCGGCUUUGUAAGUUUUCGGUUAAAUCCAUGCGCUCAGCUAGGGAGUGGGAGAGGUAGACGGUACUCGGUAGGAAGGGGUAAAAUCCUUUGAUCUAUUGAUGACCACCUGUGGCGAAGGCGGUCUACCAGAACACGUCCGACGGUGAGGGAUGAAAGCUGGGGGAGCAAACCGGAUUAGAUACCCGGGUAGUCCCAGCUGUAAACUAUGCAAACUCAGUGAUGCAUUGGCUUGAUGCCAAUGCAGUGCUGCAGGGAAGCCGUUAAGUUUGCCGCCUGGGAAGUACGUACGCAAGUAUGAAACUUAAAGGAAUUGGCGGGGGAGCACCACAAGGGGUGAAGCCUGCGGUUCAAUUGGAGUCAACGCCAGAAAUCUUACCCGGAGAGACAGCAGAAUGAAGGUCAAGCUGAAGACUUUACCAGACAAGCUGAGAGGUGGUGCAUGGCCGUCGCCAGCUCGUGCCGUGAGAUGUCCUGUUAAGUCAGGUAACGAGCGAGAUCCCUGCCUCUAGUUGCCA